UAAUCAAAAAAACUGGAUAAAGAUCUCUUUGAUUUCACUUCUAGAUCGACAUGAAUUAGGGUUUUAUGGAUGUAAGAAGAAAUUGGUGUUCUACGAAUUGGAAUUGAUGCUAGCGAAAUUAGGUUUCUAUGAUGAUAGCUGUUUGGAAAUUUGAAAUUAAUCUCUUUGUUUGAAUACUUUGUUUGAUGAUAAAAAACCUUGUUUUUGGUUUAGAAUAAGAAUCUGAUUUUUUUGUAAGUGUUUGAUGAACGUUAAUAUAUGUGUGUGAUGAUGUGAAAUCAAUACUUAAUUGUGGUCUCCUCCGUUCUUGUGUAUAUCAUUUACCAGGUUUCAGGUUUAUUGCUACUACUAGUGAGCGUUCGUUUAGCAAUUAUGCAGCUCAAGUUGAUCAAACCAAAGACAAUCUUGUUUCUAACAUGUUGAUUGAUUAUUUUGGUUCUCACCUGUUGUCAAAGUCUGAGAUUGUUAGGUUGGAUGGUCUUUUUGUUUUCGCUGGGGUUAUGAAAUCGACUGAUACUGCUAUUAAGCUUGGAUACAAUCCUGUGAAAGUAUGUUAAUAUAAUCCCUCCCUCAUUUUUUCCAUUUGAUUGCAGCAGAACAAUACUUGAUGCUUGAAAGUGUUUUUUGUAUCGUUCUUGGUCUUGACAGGUCAAGGCAUUUCCAAAUAUAAAACAUAUGCAAGAUCACCCUACUGAAACAACUAAGAACUUUACGAUUGAUGGGCAUUGCGGUUCUGUUUCUUUCCUUUGUUUUUGGUUGUGUUUGAGACUUAAAAUUCACAAUGGGUUUCAGGCUCAAUUCUCCCAAGUGAGGCCAGUUGCAAUGCCGCCAUCUGUUGGUCACCAUAUACGUAGCUACUUGUCCAUAAACUAAUGGUGAAUAAAUGCAGAUCUUUCAAUACACAAUAGAAAUUGUGGAUCCUGAGUUAGGGUUGUGGCUUGCUACAAACUCCAUGAUCGCCGGUUGGAUUCAUACCUCCAUCAAUCCGUCAAUCCGCUCUACUGUUUCUUUUGUCUGUGACACAUCCCAACUUUGGGAGUCUUUGUCGACGUUUCUCCGUAGGAAACAGUGUGCGUAAGACUCUUUUAAAGGAUGGGAUUGCUGCUUGUACUCAACAUGGACAACCGGUUCUUGCUUACUAUGAACGUCUAACUAAAGUUUGGGAAGAACUACAGAACAACAAGACUAGUCGUAUAUCUAUAUGUGUGGCUGCCACGGACAUCUGGAAAGAAUGUGAGGAUGACCAUGUGUACAAGUUUCUUCUCAGCCUUGAUGACUGUUUCAGCUCCAUUCGUUCUUUUAUUAUUGAUGUAGAACCACUACCGAAUCCCUACCAAGUCUACUCCCGUGUGAUUCGUGAGGAACAGAACCUCAAUGCAUCUAGCUCUCAGGAUCUUGUGAAGAAAGAUGCAGUUGGUUUUUCGAUGCAAUUAAGUGUACCACCUCUUGUUACACUUCCAAAUGCAUCACGUUCUUGCGACCGAUCUACUCUACUAUGUACUCACUUCAAUUGUCCAGGUCAUGAAGUCACCGAAUGUUUUUGGUUCAUGGAUAUUCUGAUUGGUGGUUAGAGCAAAAUUGCCAAGACAACCAACCUUCUUUACGUGGGCGUGGCUCUUACCGUGGUGGAAGUACCAAUCGUGACAACUAACCCUUCUUACACUAGUUGAUGAUUUUUCACGUUCAGUGUGGACAUAUUUCAUGGCCGCUAAAACUGAGGUCUCGCAAGUAAUACGCAAUUUAUGUGCAAUGUUGGCACGUUAGUUUGGUACACAAGUAAAAGUCAUUAGAAGUGACAAUGGAACUGAGUUUAUGUGUCUCACUUCAUACUUCCAAGAACCUAGUGUUCUACACAAAACCUCGUGUGUUGAUAAUCCACAGCAAAACAGUCGUGUUGAACGCAAACAUUGACACAUGUUAAAUGUUGCUCAUGCAAUUAUACUCUAAUGGAGUCUUCUUGUCAAGUUUUGGGGGGAAAGUAUCCUCACUGCUACCCAUCUCAUUAACCGAACACCUUCCCCUAUCUUUCAGGGCUAAUCUCCAUAUGAGGUUCUCUUUAGGAAAAGACCUUCAUUUAACAUGCUUCGGAUCUUUGGCUGCCUAUGUUAUGCUCUUAUUCGUCCUCGUAACAGCGAUUAGUUUACUUCUCGUAGUCGCAGAUGUGUCUUUCUCGGCUAUCCUCAUGGUAAGAAAGCCUGGCGUGUUUGUGAUCUUGAAACUGGAAAGAGUUUUGCCAGCCGGGAUGUUCGAUUCCUUGAAGAGGUCUUUCCUUACUCAACUCUUGUUGCACCCACUCCCUCUGGUUCAUUUACUGCUCUUGUGCUCAAGAAUGAUGAUUGGUUCUUACCCAUCCCAUCUCCGGUUCCCUCUACUACUCUGCCUGCUACUCCAUCAUCUCCAUCUCCAGCUCGUACGUCUAUUUCCUAUGUUAUUGUUGUUGAAACUUCUGGAUCGAUCGAUCCGAGCAGUGGAUGAGCUGAUCCCUCUACGUAUGUACCCAGUACUACUAGUCCUGCGACGUCGCGAUCGAUUGAUCUCCACCCGCGAUUGACCGAUCCCUAUGUGUCUGAUUCUAUCACUUUACUUCCACAGAUAACCAGAUCGAUUGAUCCCUCUGCCGACUCGAUCGUUCCUACUACGACGACGGAAACUAGUACUCGAUCGACUUGUCCUUCCUCUAAAUUGGUCGAUCGGGCACUACUACUACACGAUUAUGGCUCUUCUUUGUCUCCAAGCUUGCUUGAGUUGUUGGGCAAAAGAUAUCGCGAAAAGAAGAAAUUUGUCCUCCUAAAGGAUUUCAUCACGAGUUGUGCCGAUAAAAAGAAGCCUGCUACUCAUUCUGUACACUCUCCCCACAUUUCUUCUCCUACUUCAACAUCCUCAUAUUC